rnacentral:rRNA from 1 species
UGGGGAAUUUUGCACAAUGGGGGAAACCCUGAUGCAGCGACGCCGCGUGAUUUAGAAGGCCUUCGGGUUGUAAAAAUCUUUUUUAUGGGAUGAAAAUGACAGUACCAUAAGAAUAAGGUCCGGCUAAAUACGUGCCAGCAGCCGCGGUAAUACGUAUGGACCGAGCGUUGUCCGGAAUCAUUGGGCGUAAAGGGUACGUAGGCGGCCCAGUAAGUUAGAAGUGAAAUAAUAUAGCUAAACUAUAUAAAGCUUUUAAAACUGCUAGGCUUGAGAGAUGGAAGGGAAAGUGGAAUUCCUAGUGUAGCGGUGAAAUGCGCAGAUAUUAGGAAGAAUACCGGUGGCGAAGGCGACUUUCUGGUCAUCAUCUGACGCUGAGGUACGAAAGCGUGGGUAGCAAACAGG